rnacentral:lncRNA from 1 species
CCACAGCUGGCCUGGAGGACAAAAGGGACCAGAGGAAUCCUUCACUGCUGAACCUGGGAGCCAUGGUUGGGAUGGUCUUGGCCAAAGUUGUGGUCAUCAUCCCCCUGUAUGGAUGGAUGAUCUUCCUGUGGUGGAAGCAAAGGCCAGCAGCAUAAAGACUAAACUCUAGUAAGGUGAGUGCCUGUCAUCUCAAGGGACAGACGAGGAGCUGCUGGGAAGUUCAUUAUGAGAAGCAUGGAAGGGAGCCCGAGCGAUAAUUCUGUCAGAAACACAUGGCACAGGGGUAGGAGGACCUGAGUUUGAUGGAUCAGGAGCUUGCACCCAGGGAUGUGGCAUGAAUUUGCAAUCCCAGCCCUGGUCGAGCAAGAGACAGGCAGAGACAGAUUGGCUGAACACCAAGUAUAGGACACUUGGUGAGUUCCAGGCCUGUGAAAGAUUGUGUCUUUAAAAAUUAGGGGGAUUGCUCAAGGUGAUAAAUCAUGCACAUAACAUUUUCUAAAUUGAUUUUUCCUGAAAUAUUUUAAAUUACACAUGAAGGAAGAAAAAUAGUACAUGCCAGUGAGCUAGCUCAGUGGGAAACGGAGUCUGCUGCCUAGCCCAGUGACCUGGGAAUGAUUUCUGCGGACCCAAAUGGUACACAGAGAACACUGACUCUGGACAUCUGUCAUCUGUCUCUCCUGUUGCCCACCAGAUGCUGGUAACAAAUAAUUUUGUAUUCCUCAACUAACAGGCUCCUCAGUGCUAGGAUCUCUCAUCAGGGAGGUGAAUUUACAUCAAAGUAGUUGUUGGUGAUUACACACCCUGCAUCCCACAGCCUUCCAUGUCUUCUCGCUGGGAGUCAGUCAUCAUGGCUGCAGGAUUCUCCUGUGAAAAUCAUUCUUGGAUAACUCCCACUUCUGCCAUGGGGACUCAGACAUGCUCUCCUUGGAACCAUGGACCUCCUGUGUGUCUCUGGGCCUGAGACCCUGACUGUGCUGUUCUCUCUCUGUUCAUGGAGUUAUUGACACUGUUAAUAAAUAUCUUACUCCC